CACGGUAAACGAUGGAUGCCCGCUGUUUGCGAUAUACUGUGAGCGGCCAAGAGAAAUCGUUAAGCAUCCCACCUGGGGAGUACGCCGGCAACGGUGAAACUCAAAGGAAUUGACGGGGGCCCGCACAAGCGGAGGAACAUGUGGUUUAAUUCGAUGAUACGCGAGGAACCUUACCCGGGCUUGAACUGCCAGCGAACGAUUCAGAGAUGAUGAGGUCCUUCGGGACGCUGGUGGAGGUGCUGCAUGGUUGUCGUCAGCUCGUGCCGUGAGGUGUCGGCUUAAGUGCCAUAACGAGCGCAACCCUUUUCUUUAGUUGCCAUCAGGUAAUGCUGGGCACUCCGGAGAUACUGCCACCGUAAGGUGUGAGGAAGGUGGGGAUGACGUCAAAUCAGCACGGCCCUUACGUCCGGGGCUACACACGUGUUACAAUGGGGGGUACAGAGAGUCGGUGCAUGGCAAUGUGCAUCUAAUCCUAAAAGCCUUCCUCAGUUCGGAUUGGGGUCUGCAACCCGACC
rnacentral:rRNA from 1 species